CCCGUUCUGCCUCCAUGCUGAACGGGCAGUUUCAUAUUAUUAGCUAUGGGUUUAAAAACUACUAGAGGUUGAGCGCAGGCAACGCACACACGGACACUCUAGUCUUACUUCUAUAUAAUAGCAGGCCUGUCGCACCAGUUACUCAAGUUGGUCAGUGUGCACGUGCCAAGCAGCCUGCAGCUCUCACACACACACAGCACAUGCAAACGCAUCCAUACACCGCAAGCACGCACAUACACACCGCAUCCACACACACCGAACAAACACACCACACACAUACGCAGCUGUGCACAAACAUACACGGAAUCACACACACACGCACGCACACACACCACUAGCCAAUACAAAGGCAGCGACACACUCGCCCAGGUAAGAGGUUAUGUUUUAACCGUAACGGCUCCGCCAUCGACACACGCGCAGGUAAGAACAAACACGCACGCACACACACCGCAGCGACACUCGCCCAGGUAACACGUUAUGUUUUCAAACAUAACGGCUCCGUCAUCGACACACGCGCCCAGGUAAGACCACACACGCACACACCGCGACUCGCCCAGGUUAGACGUUAUUUUUUUAAACAUCUUACUGCUAUAGAAUAGCAGGCCUGUCGCACAGGUGAAGGUGCGUCCACACCAAACGCGAAGGGGCGACAUGACUCCAUACAAAUUCAACGUAGAGACUCGAUCAAAGGCCGGGCCUUUGAUCGAGCGUUUGUGUUCUUUUUGUCUCAUUGCUUUAUUGGGCUAAUCUGAGGAGAAAUCUAUGCCAUAAACAGAAAUAUUAUAGGCCUUUAUUACACGGGUCUUCUCAAUGCCGUGGAACGCUCCGUUCACUUGCAUGGGUAGUAGUCCGGUAACUUGUCAACCCCAGCGGCAGACUAUUUCACUGCUGAUCAACACUACGAAUGCUGGUAACGAAUAAAUUGUGAAAAGACACACCAUGUGAAGUUAUUUUCCAAAUAAGAUUUGAAAAACUUUGGAAGUUUAUUUAGAACACUAUUUACAUGGUUUCGGAGUAGUACACUUUGACAUUUGAAUACAGUUCAGCGAGAAAGGCGACGAAGAAUAAGAAGGGGGCGUUCCAGUCUGCGUGAACGGGAACCCCCACCACACGAGAACGCCCAUUUGUGUCUGCAGUGGGAUGAUAUUGAAAUAUUUGAACUUCACCGCGACAUUCGUGUGAUGACAGCCAAUCAGCAUUCAACGGCUACUGAGUGACAUAACGUAACAGCCAAUCAGCUUUCAACCGGCCAACCGUUCCCUGCAGUGCCGACCGGGUGAACCGCAGCAUGGAGGAGAAGGGAUUGUUGCCGUUUGCACUCCCGGAUCUCUAUCUAUAAUAGUAUAUAAUAUGAUAUAAAUGUAAUAUAUAAUAUUACGGCCAGAAGCUGUGUGAGCCUCCGGACGGCCGUAGUGCGUCGGGAUUUGGCUUCGAGGGGUUUGUUUACCGGCGUUGCUAGGGUUACCGGUCCUGUGUGUUCCAACGGUUUAUUAGCGGUGGUAUCUAAUAAAUCGCUGUCUAAUCAAUACUUCAUUCACUGCCUCUUCCAUGGUCAUUACGAUAUUAUGGACCGACUGCGUCUGGUUCUCCGCCGUCCCUCCCUCUUCCACAACAGACUCACCGUCACCCUGGAAAGAGGGGAGAGAGCACUUACUGGAUGAACUCGAUGAAUUGACGCUUCAGGGCUGGAUGCUUCACGACAAGAGUCUCUACCGUGUUUCUACUACUAAGAAGGGCUGGAGGGCCAGUAGAGAAGACUGUCAGAAGAGAAAGGCAGACCUGGUGGUCAUCAACAGCAGAGAAGAACUGGUGUGUGUGUGUGUGUGUGUGUGUGUGUG